AAGGAUAAGGAACACGUUGGUUAAGUCUUAUUUAGUUUUGAGAGGUCUUGCAAGACGCAGAGACAAACUGUGGGGCCUUAGCUCAGCUGGGAGAGCGCCUGCUUUGCACGCAGGAGGUCAGCGGUUCGAUCCCGCUAGGCUCCAUAGGAUACAGUUCAACUGACCUUAAUAGAAGUGAAGUUUCAUUGUAUCUUAGUAUAGUCCAUUGAAAAUUGAAUAUCUAUAUCAAAUUCCACGAUCAUGAAAAUGAUUGUAGAAAAGUAACAAGAAAUAAACCGAAAAAAAGAUAAACGCGAACAUAUUAAAAAAAAUCAAGAAGGUCUAAGGACUGGAAAUAA
rnacentral:tRNA from 1 species